AUGAGGGCGCCGGUCGACGACGCCAUGCGCGCGCUCUUCAUGCGCCUGCCGGCGGACGACCCCAGGAGCCUCGCCCGCGCCGCCGCCGUCUGCAGGAGCUGGCGCGGCAUCCUCACCGACCCUGGAUUCGCCGACGGCUACCGCGCGCUCCACGGCGGGCCGCCCAUGCUCGGCUUCCUCCACAACGAGACCGCAGUCCUCGACUCCCGGCACGGCCUCGUCCUCCUCUACGCCCCUGCAUACGACCCCCCUUUUGAGGCCCGCGACCUCGUCACCGGCGACUGGUGGGACAUCGACGACGACCCCAAGUGCCGCGACAUCAUGCACUGGCCGGGCGACGGCCCCGACGACUUCUUCAGCGGGACCGGGAUACGCUGUAAUGCCACGGUGCUCUGCGCCAAAGAUCGAUGUGACCACGUCGACUGCCAUGGCGGCCCUUUCCUCGUGGCCUUGGUGGGCUCUGUGGAGGAAGGAGGCAUUGCCCUCGCCACUGUCUACUCGUCGGAGGCUCGUCAGUGGAGCCACAUGAUCUCUGUUCAGAGUCCUGGUUUGCUCACCGAUGACGGAGGGCACACUGCUGUGGUGGGAGAUAAGGGAUUCCUUUACCUCAUCGGUGUGGAGGACGGCAUGCUGCUGUUUGCAUCCGUGCUCAAGCCUAGACUCUAUCUAUUGUCAAUGGAGGCUGGUCCUAGAGGAGCUGCGGCAUGGGCACGACGCAGGGUCGUCGAGCUCGAGCCGUUGCUCCCUCCUCGUGCCCUCUUGGACAUGUCGAGCCCAGAUGUGUGGACGGUUGGUUUUGCUGAAGGAGUUAGGGUAAUCUUCCUCAGAACUCCGGCUGGGUUGUACGCAGUUGAGCUUAAUUCAGGCCGAGCCAACAAGAUGGGUGAAUUUAGCAUUGAAAAGGUCAUGCCCUACACGAGGUUCUGCAUUGGAGCAUGGGGCCGGUUGCCGGCCUCCGAUGAAGCGCGACACGCAGUUGCUGGUGUUACGUUGAUGUAA
rnacentral:rRNA from 1 species